rnacentral:piRNA from 1 species
UAAUCCUAAAUGGGUCCUAUUAAGAAUUCC